AUUGAACGCUGGCGGCAGGCUUAACACAUGCAAGUCGAGCGGAGAUGAGGUGCUUGCACCUUAUCUUAGCGGCGGACGGGUGAGUAAUGCUUAGGAAUCUGCCUAUUAGUGGGGGACAACAUUCCGAAAGGAAUGCUAAUACCGCAUACGUCCUACGGGAGAAAGCAGGGGAUCUUCGGACCUUGCGCUAAUAGAUGAGCCUAGUCGGAUUAGCUAGUUGGUGGGGUAAAGGCCUACCAAGGCGACGAUCUGUAGCGGGUCUGAGAGGAUGAUCCGCCACACUGGGACUGAGACACGGCCCAGACUCCUACGGGAGGCAGCAGUGGGGAAUAUUGGACAAUGGGGGGAACCCUGAUCCAGCCAUGCCGCGUGUGUGAAGAAGGCCUUAUGGUUGUAAAGCACUUUAAGCGAGGAGGAGGCUACUGAGACUAAUACUCUUGGAUAGUGGACGUUACUCGCAGAAUAAGCACCGGCUAACUCUGUGCCAGCAGCCGCUGUAAAAC
rnacentral:rRNA from 1 species